rnacentral:rRNA from 1 species
AGCGAACGCUGGCGGCAGGCUUAACACAUGCAAGUCGAGCGGGCAUCCUUGUGGUGUCAGCGGCAGACGGGUGAGUAACGCGUGGGAACGUGCCCUUCGGUUCGGAAUAACUCAGGGAAACUUGAGCUAAUACCGGAUACGUGCGAGAGCAGAAAGGUUUAUCUGCCGAGGGAUCGGCCCGCGUCUGAUUAGCUAGUUGGUGAGGUUACGGCUCACCAAGGCGACGAUCAGUAGCUGGUCUGAGAGGAUGAUCAGCCACACUGGGACUGAGACACGGCCCAGACUCCUACGGGAGGCAGCAGUGGGGAAUAUUGGACAAUGGGGGCAACCCUGAUCCAGCCAUGCCGCGUGAGUGAUGACGGCCUUAGGGUUGUAAAGCUCUUUUCUCCGGGACGAUAAUGACGGUACCGGAGGAAUAAGCCCCGGCUAACUUCGUG